rnacentral:miRNA from 1 species
CAAUGCCCUGAGAAAUCCCAGA